UACGGAGGGAGCUAGCGUUGUUCGGAAUUACUGGGCGUAAAGCGCGCGCAGGCGGCUAUCCAAGUCAGUGGUGAAAGCCCGGAGCUCAACUCCGGAACUGCCAUUGAAACUGUUUAGCUUGAGGAUGAGAGAGGUGAGUGGAAUUCCCAGUGUAGAGGUGAAAUUCGUAGAUAUUGGGAAGAACACCGGUGGCGAAGGCGGCAACCUGGUCCUUGACUGACGCUGAGGCGCGAAAGCGUGGGGAGCAAACAGG
rnacentral:rRNA from 1 species